rnacentral:rRNA from 1 species
GAUGAACGCUAGCGGCAGGCUUAAUACAUGCAAGUCGAGGGGCAGCAUGAGUGUAGCAAUACAUUUGAUGGCGACCGGCAAACGGGUGCGGAACACGUACACAACCUUCCUAUAAGUGGGGAAUAGCCCAGAGAAAUUUGGAUUAAUACCCCGUAACAUAAUGAUGUGGCAUCACAUUAUUAUUAUAGCUUCGGCGCUUAUUGAUGGGUGUGCGGCUGAUUCGAUAGUUGGCGGGGUAACGGCCCACCAAAUCUACGAUCAGUAGCUGAUGUGAGAGCAUGAUCAGCCACACGGGGACUGAGACCCGGGCCCGACUCCUAGGCGAGGCAGCAGUAAGGAAUAUUGGUCAAUGGACGCAAGUCUGAACCAGCCAUGCCGCGUGAAGGAUUAAGGUCCUCUGGAUUGUAAACUUCUUUUAUCUGGGACGAAAAAAGGCGAUUCUUCGUCACUUGACGGUACCAGAUGAAUAAGCACCGGCUAACUCCGUGCCAGCCGCCGCCGUAACAC